AUGGUGGAUGGCGAGGAGCUGGAGAAAAAAAGAAGGAGAAUAGAGGAGCUGCUGGCUGAGAAAAUGGCUGUUGAUGUUGGGUGUGGGAACACUGGAGACUGAGAAGUUCGCUGGAACCAUGUAAAGAAGUUCCUCGAGCGAUCUGGACCCUUCACACACCCUGAUUUCGAACUGAGCACUGAAUCUCUCCAGUUUUUGUUAGAUACAUGUAAAGUUCUGGUCAUUGGAGCUGGCAGCUUAGGAUGUGAGUUCCUAAAAAAUCUGGCAUUGUCUGGUUUUAGAUUUAUGUUAUAGACAUGGACACUAUAGAUGUUUCCAAUCUAAAUAGGCAGUUUUUAUAUAGGCCUAAAGAUGUUGGAAGACCUAAGGCUGAAGUUGCUGCAGAAUUUCUAAAUGACAGAGUUCCUAAUUGCAAUGUAGUUCAACAUUUCAACAAGUUUUCAGGAUUUUAAUGACACUUUCUAUCGACAAUUUCAUAUAAUUGUAUGUGGACUGGACUCUGUCGUAGCCAGAAGAUGGAUAAAUGGCAUGCUGAUAUCUCUUCUAAAUUAUGAAGAUGGUGUUAUUAGAUCCAAGCUCCAUUGUUCCUUUGAUAGAUGGGGGGACAGAAGAUUUUAAAGGAAAUGCCCAAGUGAUUCUGCCUGGAAUGACCGCUUGUAUUGAAUGCACACUAGAACUGCAUCCUCCACAGAUUAAUUUUCCCGUGUGCACCAUUGCGUCUAUGCCCAGGCUACCAGAACACUGUAUUGAGUAUGUAAGGAUACUGCAGUGGCCUAAGGAGCAGCUUUUGGAGAAGGAGUCCAUUAGAUGUAAAUGAUCCUGAUCAUAUUCAGUGGAUUUUCCAAAAGUUCGUGGAGAUAGCAUCACAAUAUAAUACUAGGGGUGUUACCUAUAGACUCACUCAAGGUGUAGUAAAGUGAAUCAUUCCUGCAGUAGCUUCUACAAAUGCAGUUAUUGCAGCUGUAUGUGCCACUGAGGUUUUUAAAAUAGCCACAAGUGCAUAUAUUCCUCUUAUACUUGGUAUUCAGUGAUGUAGAUGGACUGUAAACAUACACAUUUGAAGCAGAGAGAAAGGAAAACUGCCCAGCUUCUAGCCAGCUUCCUCAAAAUAUUCAGUUUUCUCCAUCCACUAAACUGCAGGAGGUUUUGGAUUAUUUAACCAGUAGUGCUCCUCUGCAGAUGAAAUCUCCAGCCAUCACAGUCACAUUAGAGGGAAAAAAAUAGAACACUUUACUUACAGUCAGUAACCUCAAUUGAAGAACGAACAAGGCCAAAUCUCUCCAAGACGUUGAAAGAAUUGGGACUCGUUGAUGAGCAAGAACUGGCAGUUGCUGAUGUCACCACAACACAGACUGUACUAUUCAAACUUCAUUUUACUUCUUAAAGAAAAUAAAUCUGCACAUAAUAGAAAAUUCAUGAAAAUAUAUUAUGUGGAUGCUAAGAAAUUUAAUGUCAUUUUUAGCAUUAGUUUUGCUGGAAUUUGACUUUUUUAUAUAAUGAACCACUCUUUUUUAAAUUUAUAACUUACCCUUAAAGACAGAAAUUUGGGGUUGGUACUUGUAAGCAUUUUCAUUAAUAAUAUGGGAAAUGAUGCCUGGAGAGAGAGAUAAUGAGCAAAUGCAUUCUUUC